AAUUUCAAGCUCAGAAACAACUCGGGACAGGAGGCCCAGGGCGUCCCAUGCUCCAGCGCAAGCACUUCAUGCAGGCCCUUCUUCGAGACCUGCCAGUAGAUUGGUUUCUCAUCCAGUGAAGAUGGACCAAUUGGUAGUUUAGCUCGCUCAAAAGAAAUGUAAAUUCAACGAGACAAUGCACGGCCAGCGUUACAAAACUCUUUCAGUACCUAGUGGCCGAAAAA